rnacentral:rRNA from 1 species
AACGUACGCUGGCGGCAUGCCUAACACAUGCAAGUCGAACGAGACCUUCGGGUCUAGUGGCGCACGGGUGCGUAACGCGUGGGAACCUGCCCUUAGGUUCGGAAUAACUCCCCGAAAGGGGUGCUAAUACCGGAUAAUGUCUUCGGACCAAAGAUUUAUCGCCUUUGGAUGGGCCCGCGUUGGAUUAGCUAGUUGGUAGGGUAAAAGCCUACCAAGGCGACGAUCCAUAGCUGGUCUGUGAGGAUGAUCAGCCACACUGGGACUGAGACACGGCCCAGACUCCUACGGGAGGCAGCAGUGGGGAAUAUUGGACAAUGGGCGAAAGCCUGAUCCAGCAAUGCCGCGUGAGUGAUGAAGGCCUUAGGGUUGUAAAGCUCUUUUACCCGGGAUGAUAAUGACAGUACCGGGAGAAUAAGCUCCGGCUAACUCCGUG